AAAAUUUUUGUCCUGCUUUUUUUUUAGUUCUAAUCUCUGUCCUGCCUUUUUAUUUCUUACUCUAUUCGGUCCUGCCUUUUUUUUACUAGUUUAUCCUGACUUUUUUUACACAAAUUGUCAUCCUGCCUUUUUUUUUUACCAAGUUGCUCAUCCUGCCUUUUUUUUUACUCAAAACUCCCUGUCCUGCCUAUUUUUUUUCAAAUUUCAUCCUAGCCCCCCCCCCCC
rnacentral:lncRNA from 1 species